GGCGGUAUAGCCAAGCGGUAAGGCGACGGUCUGCAAAACCGUUAUUCUCCGGUUCAAAUCCGGAUGCCGCCU
rnacentral:tRNA from 1 species